rnacentral:rRNA from 1 species
UACGGAGGGGGCUAGCGUUGUUCGGAAUUACUGGGCGUAAAGCGCACGUAGGCGGCUUUGUAAGUUAGAGGUGAAAGCCCAGGGCUUAACCCUGGAAUUGCCUUUAAGACUGCAUCGCUAGAAUCGUGGAGAGGUGAGUGGAAUUCCGGGUGUAGCGGUGGAAUGCGUAGAGAUCCGGAAGAACACCGGUGGCGAAGGCGGUCUGCUGGGGUGAUGCUGACACUGAUGCGCGACAGCGUGGGGAGCAAACAGG